rfam:Trichobilharzia regenti genome assembly, scaffold: TRE_scaffold0034933
GUACUGAUGAAGAGUCCCAAACUAGGACGAAACUGUUGUCCAAUAC